CCCUUAGAUGUCCUGGGCUGCACGCGCGCUACACUGAUGUGUCCAGUAAGCACCUAACCUAUUCCGAGAGGAGCGGGUAACCUUAGCAAAGCACAUCGUGAUGGGGAUAGAUUAUUGCAAUUAUUAGUCUUGAACGAGGAAUUCCUAGUAAGCACAAGUCAUCAGCUUGUGUUGAUUACGUCCCUGCCCUUUGUACACACCGCCCGUCGCUCCUACCGAUUGAAUGUUCCGGUGAGCUCUUCGGACUGCGCGGUCUGCAGCUUCUGCGUUCCGUGCGGAAAGUUGUGCAAACCUUAACAUUUAGAGGAAGGAGAAGUCGUAACA
rnacentral:rRNA from 1 species